AGCUUCAGCCCUGGGGUUACCCGAUCUGACAAAGCCUUUUCCAUUGUAUGUGUCAGAGAGAGAAAAGAUGGCAGGUGGACUUUUAACCCAAACUGUGGGGCCCUGGAUGAGAGAAGUCCUUCAAAUGUAAUUGCAAAGUCAGAGACCUACAGGGAAAUGGGGAUCAAAAGCUCUCAUCACUCCAGAUGCUACAAAGCCUUCCCUUCCAGAUGCUACCGAUUUUACUCCCCAGAGCACAGAAGAAAAGUUCGUCAUUGAUGACUUCUCUUUUCUAAGAAGACAUUCAUCUCUUUUCUGAGAAGGCAUUUCUGCAAAGGCAUUCAUCAUCAUCAGCCUCCUGAGUAGCUGGAAUUACAGAACUUCCAAGAUGGUGGUGAGCCGCUUCCAAGAUGGUGGCAGGCCGCUUCCAAGAUGGUGGCAGGCCGCUUCCAAGAUGGUGGCAAGUCUCGUGUUCUCUGACCUGGGGUUCUUGGCCUCAUGGAGUCCAAGGAAUGGAAUCUUGGGUCAUGCGCUACAGCUGUCAUACUGAAAUCAUGAAGCUAAAGGCUACAGAGGGCUACUAGAAGCCUGAGUUUCUGAAGACUGUGUGGAACCAUCAAAGCAGCCCUGAAUAUUUCCCUUGAGACUUUUCCAUUAUAGGAAGGGCAAAUAAAUAGAUGAUGUAUGAUG
rnacentral:lncRNA from 1 species